GUGCUGCGGUUCAUGGGGUCGGACACGACUGAGCAACUGAACUGAACUGAACUGGGUCUUAACUGAAGUCGUCUCUGUUCCCGGAAUCGCGUCAUUUCCUCUUCCUCCUUCUCUCUCGGCGGCCGUGUCUCAGUGACAGUCCGGGAGCUCUGCUAAGGGUGGAGGGCACAACCGCAGAGGGAGCCCCGGCAGCUCGCGAGACAGCCGGGCUCAUCGCUCUCAGCUCCAUGCUUCUUGGGAGUCGGCCAUAAUGGUGGUUUAGAAUGUUGGCGGCUUCAUCAGGGUUCUGAAAGCGUAACUGCAAGCACAUGUUGAGGACCACAGAGCCCGCGAGGUAGAAGUACCGCAAGUUUUUGUUCAGAUGCCAGGGUGGGCAGGGUGCGGGAGGGCCCCUCGCAAGACCCUGUAGGAGCUGGGCGCCGCCGCCAGACUCGAGGUCCUGAGAACCAAGGCUGAUGGAGCCGCGGCGAAGGUCAUGAACCUGGUGUCGCCACUCACCCCCGAUGCGGUACCUGGAACCGAGGGUGACCACGGACCCGAGGACCCCCAACUGGCGGCAAUGACCGGGAGGGGCAGGUGGCGGGGGACAUUAAGCGGCCACCGAGUUCAGCCUUGGGCCCCAACAAUCGCCUUUUCAAACCCUCUUAAUGAUUUUUCUUUGAUGCGUUGGGUUGUCAUAUGUUACCAAUACUGCUCGGUUGAUAAUUCUUCAAGAAGACAGUUCUGAGUUUGAAGUAACUUGAUAAUAAACUUUCUUGAAUAGUUUGCUAGGAGUGACAAAAGUUUAAAUGACUGAAAUGUCUUAUCAGAAAUCAGACCUUCAGCUCCUCCCCAUAUUUCCUAAAGACCGUGCGCCAGCUCGCCCCAUUACUGCGACCAGCAGCCCUAGCGUCGUGAUUAGUGAUGAUGAACCAGGUUAUGACCUAGGUUUAUUUUGUAUACCCAGCCAUUAUGCCGAGGAUUUGAAAAGGGUGUUUAUUCCUCGUGGACUAAUAAUGGACAGGACCGAGCGGCUUGCUCCAGAUGUGAUGGAGAUGGGAUGCCAUCACAUCGUGGCCCUCUGUGUACUCAAUGGGGGCCUAUAAAUUUUUUGCUGACUUGCUGGAUUACAUCAAAGCAUGAACAGAAAUAGUGAUAGAUCUAUUCCUAUGACUGUGGAUUUUAUCAGACUGAUAAAUCCUGUAAUUACUGUAAUGACCAGUCAACAGGUGACAUAAAAGUCAUUGGAGGAGAUGGUUUCUCAACUUUAACUGGCAAGAAUGUCUUGAUUGUUGAAGAUUUAAUGGACACAGGCAAAACAAUGCAAGCUUUGCUUUCUUUGGUCAAGCAGCAUAAUCCAAAGAUGGUCAAGUUUGCAAGCUUGCUGGUGAAAAGGACCCCUCGAAGUGUUGAAUAUAGACCAGCCUUUGUUGCAUUUGAAAUUCCAGACAAGUUCCUUGUGAGAUGUGCCCUCGACUAUAGUGAAUACUUCAGGGACUUGAAUCAUGUUUGUGUCACUAGUGAAACUGGAAAAGCAAAAUACCAAGCCGAAGGUGAACAUUCAAGCUGAGUUUGGAAACAUCUGGAGUCCCACUGAAAUCACCAGUGAAAUUAUCCAGUGUUCUAGUUCUGUGGCCAGCUGCUUAGAAGAACUUACCGUGUGUCUCCUAAGAAUUUUGUCUGUUUUGUGUUUUAGAAAUGUCAGUUGCUUCAUUCCCAAACUCUUCAUUUGCACUGUGAGGCUAUAGACUAUCAGUUCCCUUUGGUCAGAUUGUUGUUUGGCUCAUGAAUGAAAAAUCUCUGAAGCCACACCACUAUUGACUGAAAAUAUGAAAAUUGUAUCUGUAACAUUUAAAGAUAAGACUGUAUUAGUUUUUUAAUUGGUAUUUUAAUUUUUAUAUAGUCAAGAAAGAACAGAAGUGAUUGAAUGUUGUUAACUAUACUGCUGUGUGUUUAGAAAAGCAGUCACUUUCAUAUCUGUGACAGUACUUAAGAGGUAUUAUUGUGUCAGAGAAACCAUAUGUCCUGGAAUUUUUUUAGUAGGUUUCAGUAGUAUUAACUGUAUUUUCUUGCUUGUUCAGAUUAUUUCUGAUGAAUCUUUGUUAACAGUUCCUUUUAAAUACAGGUCAAUAAGUUCCAGAACUUACCACGUUUUGAA